rnacentral:rRNA from 1 species
GACGAACGCUGGCGGCGUGCUUAACACAUGCAAGUCGAACGGUGAAAGCGGAGCUUGCUCCGCUGGAUCAGUGGCGAACGGGUGAGUAACACGUUGGCAACCUGCCCCUCACUUCGGGAUAACUCCGGGAAACCGGGGCUAAUACCGGAUAUGACCUCCUUGGCCAUCCGUGGAGGUGGAAAGUUUCUCGGUGAGGGAUGGGCCCGCGGCCUAUCAGCUUGUUGGGGAGGUAGUGGCUCACCAAGGCGACGACGGGUAGCCGGCCUGAGAGGGCGACCGGCCACACUGGGACUGAGACACGGCCCAGACUCCUACGGGAGGCAGCAGUGGGGAAUAUUGCGCAAUGGGCGAAAGCCUGACGCAGCAACGCCGCGUGCGGGAUGACGGCCUUCGGGUUGUAAACCGCUUUCAGCAGGGAAGAAGCCGCAAGGUGACGGUACCUGCAGAAGAAGCACCGGCUAACUACGUGCCAGCCGCCGCCGUAA